GGGUGCUGUGUGUGUCUGGGUGCUGUGUGUGUCUGGGGGUGCUGUGUGUGUCUGGGUACUGUGUGUGUCUGGGGGUGCUGUGUGUGUCUGGGUGCUGUGUGGGGGUGCUGUGUGUGUCUGGGUGCUGUGUAUGUCUGGGGGUGAUGUGUGUGUCUGGGGGUGCUGUGUGUGUCUGGGUGCUGUGUGUGUGUCUGGGGGUGAUGUGUGUGAGUGUGAUUUUUUUUUAAUUUAA